GUGCUGCAUGAAAGGAGAGAAGGUUAGCACUCCCCCUGACAAGAUGGAAGAGACCCUUGGGCCUGACAACAUGCACAUGGUGAAGACAUUGCAUUGUUAAGGCAAAAUAUAGCCAAGGUAA
rnacentral:ncRNA from 1 species